rnacentral:lncRNA from 1 species
GCCAGACGAAAGUUAAGGAUCAAGAGCUAACCUAAUCCUAGAAUUGAACCAUUGCGAAAUCUUGUCAGUUACCGAACUGGGAAUUCUAAUUACUGCGCGGCUAGAAAGCUUCACAGCUUCCUGAACAGAAACAAUCCCCAAACUUCGAUUUCCAACAGGGGUGACCCACAAUCUAGUAAAUCAACACGGCUUCGAGGCAUUUCCUAUCUUAUUCCCUAACUAGCCCCAGCAGAACUGGUCCCAAUGAAGCCUCCUAAUGACGCAAUAGAAAAUACAGCAUCACUUAAGGGCCUUAGGAGACCAAAAAGAGCAAAUAAAAUCACCUGAUUUGCUCCUACUCGGUAAUUCCAAAUUAAGAGAAAAAGACUUCCAGCCCAGCUACCAACUGUGUUCACCCACACUUGUUCUCCCUACCACUACAGGCUCACUUCACACCCUCAAUCAGCCUCACUGCAAGGGAUGGCAGAGGGGCGCUUCCAGACUUGGCUGAGACUCCCCGAUUACAGGCCAUCUUUGCAGAACUCACAGCUAAGGCGGGCGGGUUACCCAUGAGCCAGAAUUCCCACCUAGCGACACUUGGUCGCCAGGUGAUGGGCGAGUCGGGCACCCAGCCUGAAGUGGAAAGGCCCAUCCCUAGCCCGGGGUCCGCGCCACGCUUCUCUGGCCCACACAAAGCCUCGCGCCCCCGCCCUCGCCACCCAGGAGGGCGCGG